rnacentral:rRNA from 1 species
UACGUAGGGUGCGAGCGUUGUCCGGAAUUAUUGGGCGUAAAGAGCUUGUAGGCGGUUUGUCGCGUCUGCCGUGAAAAUCCGGGGCUCAACCCCGGACUUGCGGUGGGUACGGGCAGACUAGAGUGUGGUAGGGGAGACUGGAAUUCCUGGUGUAGCGGUGAAAUGCGCAGAUAACAGGAGGAACACCGAUGGCGAAGGCAGGUCUCUGGGCCACUACUGACGCUGAGAAGCGAAAGCGUGGGGAGCGAACAGG